UUGGCAACAAUGUUUGAAUGUAUUUUUUUCAUUCCCAUGAGUUCCUACAUUAUGAAAACAUAUGUUUGGUAUGAUUUUUUAGCAGCUGUUUUAUCAAGUGUGCCUUGGACUCAUCUUCUAUCAUUGUUUUAUCACCUGGCUCAUCAUAAAACUUCAUCAUACACUCACAAAGAAGGACAGUCUGUGUGCUGAUUUGUCCAGCAGAGGGCAGUAGUCAGCCCUCUUGGGGUCAAAUGCAGGUAUUUGAUACAUUCAUAGACUGUAUAUACUAUGGACAACUUGCGUCCACCUUCUGCCAGUAUACGAAUUUGAAGUCAAAUUGCUAUUGGUGUUUCUGGGAUUUUCUCAAACAGCGUAUCUGGGUGAGCUACGCAAUCUUCGUACACCCAUAGGCUGUAUCAAGUGUCAAUCAUGACCCCCCUAAUAACUUUUAAAAAUGGAGCUGUACAGCAAAAAGAGGACUUGAGGACAAAACAGUCUUACAGUAACUACAUGUUAACAUCGCAGGCAGGGGGAGAAAAAUUUUAAUUCUGUGCAAUUACUUUCUAAAGUUAGUCCACAACUCCAUAGGGAUUGCUUGAGGAGGCAGGAUUUAUGACCUAUACUGCAGCCCAUCACCAGCGAGGAGGCACAUGGUGGCCAUUCUAUAUACAGUCUAUGGAUACCUUUAAGACUUUGAAACUGAAGCCCCUGUUUUACUGUUGGUUUAAGAUUUCGUUGUUACUGACAUUUGGUGAGCACCUUUGCUAAUAACAAGGUUGAUGUCAAAUGAUGACGAUUAAACUUUUCCUUCUUUGCUCCCUAGUGUAGUCAAGUUUUCUUUAUUACUUUAUUUGACAGGGGCCAUUACAUCUGUGGUGCCUUGGCAGGAAGGACUGUUGGUUAUGGUCCACAUGCCUAAGCUGGUUGUGUAUCACUCAUACUACUCUGUUAUCUGUACUUGUUUACAUCUGGGUAGUGGAGCACUGAAGCUCUAUGGCUGUCACUUAUGACCAGAGUUGCAGCCCUCAUGUUGUUUUAAACUGCAGCAGAGCAACCCACCAUAUGUCAGGUAUUUGAGGCCCACAGCAACAAAAAUAUUACUGAUUAGAGAAGAUUAGUUGGAUAUAUGUUUGGGCGUAAGAAGCAGCAAACAUCAACCUGGGUCAAGCUGUGGCCAAGCUCAUGGAGAAACUGUCUCUAUGCCCACAAAUUUUCACAGCAACACCAGACUUCAGUGUUGUCUGUAACCCGUUCCAUCUAUUUAAGAAUACACAAACCAACCAGCUGUUUUCAAAUGAUGUCUCCAUUGAAUUAUACACUGCUUGGAUUCCCCAUAAGCCUCAGUGGGUGAUCACACCACUUAUUACCCUGCGCAAAACCACAUGAGUGACAAUCUCAAACCCAAACGGCUGUAAAAGGCUCUCAGGGCUCUUUAAGGGUUCCUGGUUUCAUCGCUGUCAGUGACAUAGACAAACUGUGUUCAUAUGAGACCACACAAAGACAAAUAGCAAGGGAUCCACAGACAUCGGCAGAGGGAUGCCAAAGGAAGAGUGGAAGCAGAUGGAGGGUAAUAUCAUGUCGAAAACAGUUACAGAAUCUCAUCAUAAAUAUUGAGGUUGCAUGUUUGAUACAAUAAGGUCAAAGUCAUUAUCACAAUCUUCAUCAACCACAGUCACUCAAACAUGACGCCUUUCAUUGUCUCUGUGUGCACUUAAAACACAAGCUAAAGAAGAAGAGUGCUGCCACCCACUGAAACCGUGAUCUGUUUUUGAUUUGUUUAUUUUAUUGACAGUUUUUUUCUUUUUUCUUUUUUUUUAACAGUUCUCAAAUAUAAGAAGAUGGACUAGGGUGAUGAAGCAUGAACUUAUUUCGGAAACGUUGCUCAUCAGCCUGGCCUGAUAAGCAAUGAUGAAGAAAAAGUGGAAGAGACAAACAGAACUCCUAUAGAUGGCUCAAAAUGUACAGUGAGUUUACCUCAAAAUUACAACUGGACCCCUAAACUUUAGCUUAAAGUCAAGAACAACUACACAACUGUGAUUCAUGAUUUGGCAUUUCAGGAUAUAAAAUGUCAACUAAAGCUUGAAUAAGCUAAAUCCACAAGUCUGAUGUAUGUAUUACUGUGAAAACUGUCUUAUAGCUCAAGGUUUAAGAGGGCCAAGACAAGAUGUAUGAGAUGGGGAACAAUUAAAAUGUUCAAUCUGUUCCAAUCCCAAGAAGCAGUUUUUAUACUGCUUAUUUCUCCUUCUAAAAGUUAAUGAUCACAAAUAACAACAAAUAUUAAAGGUUUCAUUGGAGUCUGCAAAAAGUGCUAUUAUUGCAUUAUUAAAGACUUAAAGUAUUACAUUAUUAAAUUAUGAGCUUAAAAUAUUUCAAUUAAUUAGUCUCAAAUUAAUCAGGAUAAUCGGGUUAAUCAGGAAGUACAAAAACAGCAUUUUUUAUAUCAAGACUCACAAAUUUGAUCCAUUAUUUGUCAAGUCUAUAAAUACACUGAGAAUAAUAGCCUUUUUAAGUGACGACACUUGAUUACUUAAGUAUGUGAGUCCAGAGAUUGGGACCAAUUCACUUUUUCCUGACAAUUUAGAGCAAAUCUUUGAAUGACCUGAGUGACAGAAGGGUAGAGGUUUACAUCAUUAUUUCAAUUUCAAAACUAGACUGUAGCAAUUCUGUGGAAAACAAUAUUCACAGUCUGCCAUGGCACGAUUGAAUUCAACUCAGUGAGGUCAAUUUUUGUACAAUAUCAUGUACCCUUAACACAAUCAGUCACAAAAAGGCAAAGCUAUCCUGUCAUGAUCGUAUGAGUCUGAGUCUGCAUGGACCCUUGGCAGAGGAGUCUUAAAAAGGGAUAUUGUGGUGUAAAUUUAAGUUAUGGUCCAGCAGCCUCUUGUAUGUGGGGGAGCCCUGACGAGUCGAUCACCAUAUGCAGCGGAUCAUUUCCUUGAAGUUAUAAUCGUCAUAUUAACCAUUUUGCACUGCAGACGCGGUCGUUCUUCUGCCUUAGUCGUCUCAGUCUGAUUGCAUUUCCAUGAUUGUUGUUCCUUGAGUUGCGCAACUCUGCUGCACUCGGUGAUCGACACGUCAGGGCUUCCCCACAAACAAGCAGCUGCUGGAGGAGAGUGGGUGAAUUGUGUCUGAUGUCUUCGCUAAAGAAACCAGGCAAAACUAAAAAGAUGUUUGGUGGCUAGUACUGUGGCUGGGACCCUAUAUGUACUGUUGAUGGAGUUACAUGCUGUUCUGAGCAUUAUUUGAGCCUCUAGAGGGACUUUUUGGUUGAGGUUCGCAUGUGGAGAUGUAAACCGCUGUGUAUUGCUAUCAUGCACUUGUGGCUGAAGUUGGUAUAACUAGAGAAGCAAGCAGUCGGCAAAAGUUAUCUCCCGAGGGGGUGUCUAACUCUGUGUUACGGUGUGUUUGACCCUGACUUAAUUUUAUGCCAGAAUAUCCCUUUAAGUAGGGUCUGCUGAUGUGAACAUUUUGCAUAGUGUCCUAACUGUAAUGAAAUUAUGGGUUACAGACAGGAGGACAGACAAACAGACAAAAUGACUGAUAGAUGGCUGAAUAAACUUUAGACAUAGACAUAUAACAUCUUAACAAAUAAAGUUUUAUGAAAAGCUAAUGGUACAAAUUUUUAAAACACCCAAAAAUUUACAAGUAUGACAUCAAAUUAUGUGACACACUGUAAAAAUUCCUGUUUAUACAUGCAAAAAUAACCUCCAUAAUAAGUUAUUAUAAAUCUAUUCUUAACACAAUUAUUAGAAUGGAUUCAAGCAUACUCCACUGUUUUUUAAGUGACCACUAACAUACAGUAGGGUCAUACACAUAGUUUCAGGUUCAAUGAACCUCACAAAAACAAACUGAACAUAAAUGUAAAUGGGCUGCUGUAAACUCCCAGCUGGUUCUGAACUAAGUUGAGCCUGAUGGGGGUUCACCGCCAAUCAUUACAGAUUAUAACCCUCACUUUGAUGAUGUUCAGAAAUACUGCAAGGACCAGAGAAUAACAGGGUUUGCUAUCUAUGUGGGUCACUGUGGGGUUUUGACUGUGGCUGAGGGAAUAUGAAGGAACGAGUGGAAGCGGAGGGCUGACUGUCGUUCUGUAAGCCAAACCACAGCUGGCUAGAUUACAAGAGUCUGGAUUAGAGGCAUUGGGUUGGGGUUGGGACUGGGAUGUGGAUCCUAUUGAUGUUGUAACUCCAACAACACAUUAUUAAAGCAUCAAUGUCAUGUAGGCAGACAGAUUUCAAACAGCCAAGGCACUCACAUUAUGCUGCACUGAAAACAAAGUCACUUGAUAUUUCUGUGUUUAUGUGGCCACUUUUCUUUGACAUCACGAUGAUUCAAACAGGUGUGUUUCAUCAUUUUUCUCAAGUAUUGGACACCUCUCAAGCUAAAAGACCAGGAGAUAGAGGAUUAUAACCCAAGCCUGACAUCUAAAUCACUGCAAACAAAGCACAAAAUAAAUAUAAAGAAUAGCAGCACAUGUUGUUUUCGUAUUUUGCACUCAAUUGUUUUCAGAUGGAAAAUAACUUCUCAUAAAGCAUCUUCUCAAGUAUAAAGUGGAGACCAAGAAAAUCUGCAGAGCACACUUAGCCUCUGGCCAUGGCUGGCAGGUCAUGAAAGCAGCACUACACAAAACAGCACAAGCUUCAUUCAUGAUUGUCCUUUGCACUUUGAACCUUAUUAAGCCACUUAAUUUAAGUAAUAACUGAUCUGAAGGCAGCUACAUAUCAAAACAGGAAGAACUCAAAAGUUUUCCUCUUGCAUGUUAAACAUUAGCACCAGCAUAAACAUCCCACAUCUUGACAGUAUUUAUGUAAAGCCAGAGUUUCUGUAAAACAUUUCGGGGUGAAAAUAAAUCUACAAUUGUUAUGCAGAGAGGAUUUAGUGAAAACAGUCAACAAAGCUGGGUUUAAGUCAUCACACUCAGCAGACACAUUAAUUUAUGAUCACAACUAGAACUCUGUCUGCAACACCCAGCCCUACACAGCAGAGGUUGUCUAGAUAGACAGCACAACAGCUGCUACGGCAAUGCUGCAAAUGUACUAAAUUGGCCCAAUCCCAAUCCACCCCCUACACACUCGGCCUUCACUACCAAGAGUCACUCGUAAUGAAGUUACACUUGCAGUUGUGGAGUGUGCCUCAAUUGAAAUGGGAGGGUAUAAGACACGCCCUGUGCAUGGCAGCGUUGAUGGGCAUUAUGUACAGUUCUGAGCCACACUGGCUGCCUAAUUUUUUUCCUUGUCAGUGGUAUCAUAAAUCCAGCAACCAUCACAGUGACAAGAGCUGAAUUAUAUUUCUUAUUGUGAGUGAUUCCACACGUCUUCAAACCUCUUUACUAUUUGACAUGCCUGCACAAUCAAAUCGAAUGUCAGCACAGAGUAAAAUUUCCGAGUUUCGUUUGAUCUUUCCAAACCACGUCUUUUGUGAUUUUUUUUUUUUUUGUCUGUGAGAUGAGGUUGGACACAUGUGGAACUUAUAUUUGUAUGUUGUUUCCUCCUCUUCUAUUUUUGUCAGCGCACUACCUGCAAGUGUGCAAUGGUGCAGACUCACUAUUUGAGGGCUGAAUUGUCCACUCACCCCCCGCAGUCUGUGGUUUUGGACGGCCUUCAAUAUGGCAGAGCCUCCGCAGGGACAUGCAAACAGGGGGAUGGGUGUAUAGAGCGAGUGUGUAGGGGGAGUGUGUAGGGGCGGUUUGGGAUUAGGUCAUUCAAUGCCAAGACAAAAGGCAUCCCUAGAUUUCAAGAAGCAAAAAACAAGUUUUCUAUGAUUGACACUUAUUACAGCCAAUGGGUGUACAAAGCCACCCAGGGGAUAGCCUGUUUGAGCUGAGUGUCAUCACAGCGACUAUUGGCAACUUUCCCGCCGAAUGCAUACAAUGCUACUGCACAAGUGGUGGAGUGCAUACAACGCUACCAUGCAAGUGGUGGAAGCUACAAGAAAUGAAUCCUCAAUCAAGACAGUCAAAAAUAAUCCAUAAGCUAUUCAACUGUUGUGAGGUAGGCAAAUCUUGAGUUAGUUAGUUAGGAUAAGAUCAAGUUAUGCAAACUUGCUAUUAUAAUAGAGCAAUGUAUUGUUUUAUCUCCCUUUCCCAAAAUUCAUUUGUUAAGCUGACACAGCUUGAAAUAUUAUGUAUUUCCGACAGAAGUAAGAAUCCUAUUUUACAAUUUCACCUGAGUUUGUACUGCAUCUUAUGUAAGAGGUAACAGGCACAUGAAUAAAUCUGUCUUUUUGGAGGGCAGACUGUAUUAUAUGUUACAGUGGCAACAAAGUGGAACAGUUCAGCUGUACUAGUGUCGCUCGCCAGCCUCCAUAAAUGUCCCAUAAAGAAUCAAAACUGAAAAUAGGGGGGUUGUAUCAGAAAAAAAAUGAAGCCUUGUAUUAUAACGCAGUAUUUUCCUGGAGGGUAAAUUUCUCUGAUCUCCAGUGCCUGACACUUAUAUGAAAAAUGAUGUCGGUGACCAUGAAAGUAGUGGGACCUUAGCUUAAAUAAAGCUUUAACUGCAUGUCAGAAUGACACUAUCUUUAGUCUUGAUUUAACCCUUUUCGAAACAGCUUUCAGUGAUGAACGGGUUUUUGAAUAGAUCUUGAGGCAGAAAAUGAAUUCAUUUUUAAAGGCUACCUGGUUUUCAAGAGCGAUCCAAUUUGCACUCAACCAAGUACCCAAUUUCAGAUUCUUCAGAGCUGAGAUAUUACUUUUCAUACCCUGUGAGAUGACUUUAAAAUACAAUAUAGUACUUCACAGGUGUCUGGUUACUUGACUGAAGAGAAAGUCGAAGCUCUGAGGGCAUGUUACUGCUUUUUUCUUCUCUUCACAUUGGCCUAAAAUUGCUUUUUUCCAUGAGUAACAAUUUCCACAGUGGCUCCAUCAGACUGGUAUGUUUUUACCUGGACAUCAGUCCUGUGUUGGCGAUGAAAAAUCUAAUUCUGAAAGGAUCAACUUUUUUUUGGUCAAAUAAAAUCCAAACACUUUAGUAUUUAACUUGACUUUACUUUAUUUAGAUGGCACCUUUCAUUUAAGCAUUUCAUUCAUGUGCUUCACAGCGAAAUAAACAAAAGUAAGAGGAAAAAUGGACAACAGUAAAUGAGACUGUAAAAUGGUACAGUUAUGGCAAUAAGAACACGAAACUUUUGGAAAUCCAAAAAUAAAAAUACUUAAUGGAUCAAACAACACAAAUUAAAGGUACAGUAUGUAGUUUUUAGCCAGGAUUGAGUAGAGUGGACUCUGGAAAUUGAACAGAUUGUCAAAGAUUUAUUCAAAUAAGUGUAAUUAAUAUAAGAAUAUAAAACUUUCUGUUUUACUGCAGAGUUUGUACCAAUUUUGCAUUUGGUGUGUGGGCGCCCACAAUCCACCAUUUUGAAGAUGAAUACAAAGAUGAGUGCACUUUGAAUAGUUUAGAGAUGCUCAGAAGAAAAGUAGAGUGAUGGCAUUGGCAAAAUCUUGUUUAACAGAUAAAACAUGUUGAAGGAUCACUUGGACCCCCUACUCUGAUCUAUCCAGGUGGCAGCCUUCUGUGUCGAAACCAGCUCUACUGGACUUCAUGGCAUAGAUGGAUGCAAUAAAUAAAAGUUGCCACAUGACAGAAAAUGUAUCAUCCCAAUGGAUUAUGAAAAGCUUAAGUUUUUUCAUCGAGAUUCACUUUAGGAGCAUGUUAAACUAUUUUUUUUUAAAGACUUGAAGUUAUGUUGUAAUUUUCUCCGUACAGCAAUGUUGGGGGAAUAAAAUUUCACCGAUGGCACCAGUAUGGCGAGCUGGCCUUUGCUGCAUUACAUGCAUGAUGCACUCAUGUUAUAGUAAUCAAACUAACUAAGCUCAUAUUGUUUUUAAAUGUCUUGUUUGUUGUGUUUCCAUGUGUAUUUUAAUUUCAGACCCAUCAUUACUGUCCACUGGAGUCGUAAGGUUUAACAGGACGCUGCCAGGCUGUGGCCUCCCCACACAACCCGUACACUCAGAAUGUCACCGUGACUUCAUAACCACAUGUAUGGAUGCUGUCUGCUGAAAGAAAACAUCAUCGAGGAUUAUAAACGCUUGAUUGUUUAUUGGGAUUUCCCAAACCCCAGAGCUGGUCAUGAUGCAGUUUAUAAAUGAAAACGUGAGCACAGGGAUGUGACUCAAGUUGAGCGCUGAUCUAUGUUAAAGACACGUGGCAUUGUCUCCACUUCAACGUGAUGCCUGAGGUCAUAGUGUAACUUCGUGUUAUAUUUACCCACAAAAUUAGCAGAACUGAGUAUAGAGGAGCAUGUCUCAUAUCAUCAGUCAUGCUCGUUGGCAGAAGGUCUUUUACAGGCUCAAUAACUUUAGAGGGAUGAAUUCAGGGGAAUAUUCUGAAUUUGUUGUUCUAUUAAGGCACCUGAGCAAAAUAGUGAAAAACGUGAGCAUUGAAGAGUGAUGGAAGAUCAUUUUGUUUAUCUAUUAGGAUCUACUCAACCAGCAGAAAGUGGCUGAAAAGACAUCUUCACCAUACGUCUAAACAACGUCUAGAUUUGGACCGUCUAAAUGAAGCCCAGUUUUCAACAUCUUUUUUUUGGGCUAAAUUACAGCCAUGACAGGCCGACAUGAUUUAGCCUGAAAAAAGACAUCUAAAUGACGUCAGGUGUUUGGUGGGUAUUAGUGUUACUCCAACAGGGUGGACGGGAUCCUGAACCAAAUCUGAGGGGUCUCUGGCCAUGUUGUUUAGCCUGAUCAGUUGGCAUACCAGUGUAGUGUCAUUUGUCAGCCAGCAGUAGUGACAUGUGUCAAUUGGUUGUUCGUGGCUUGCACUGCAGGAUUAAGAACCAUUGCAAAGCCAGUUAGAACCAAGUAUUCAUUCAACACAGCUGGGUGUUAAAUAAGAAAAACCCAGUCAUAGAUGUUGACGAUAGUCCCUCUUAUGCCACAGUCAAUAAUGUUUCCAUGGCAACAGAAUCUUACAAGCUUACUUGUGGGGAACAGUGAAAUGCAUAGUCAAGUUUGAACUUCAGCACACUUAUCUAAUCAAUAAUUUCCCACUGAACAUUUUCUGAACUUAUACACUGUAUGUAUUUUAUUUAACUUCAGAGCUGAGCCUUGUUUUUACCCAUAAUUCAUGCUUACUCCCUCGCAGUAUGAGUUGGCAUCCAUGCUCCUUCUAGAGAGUCUUAAAUUUCCUCUAUAAUUCACAAAAUCUAAAGUACAUAUCAUUUCAUCUGUGCUGUUAAUAUCCCUCACACUGUAUUUUUGUCUCUUUGAUGUCUACAGACCGUAAACUGCUGAUUAGCAAAUUGCAGGCAGAAGAAUAUGUAUGUGUGAUACAUGAAAAAAGUGCAAAACCAAAUGAGCAUGUUCCCUUACAACCACACUCCAAAAACACUGAACUAUCCCUUUAAGAUCAAAUAUCAAGGACUAUCAGGUGGAAGUUAUUUUAGAUCAUAGCUUAUGUAAUUACAGUUAAUUAUUGCAUAUCUUCUUCCAUUGUUUGGGUUCAGGGCCUUCAGGUUGUCUGUGUGUCUGUUUAAACCGGUCCAGAUUUAACACUACUUUCUCCCCGCUUGUGGACUGAGCCUCCAUAAUAAUAACACUGCAACCCAUCAUUAUAUCUACUUUUCAUAUCUCUAUCCAUUACUUUUUUCCCCUGGUGGAGUGGUUCCCAUCUGGGCACAGCCGAAAUAGAAGCGUAGAUGCAGCAGCACCACCCAAAACCAGGAGGCAGCCUGUCGUCUCUGUGUCUUUCCACAGAAAUAUGUUGCCCCCUGGCUCAGCGCAGCUCUUUACUGGAGGGUGGCAGUGCAGUAAGCAGAGACUUCACCUGAUUCUGUUCUUGUCUUUAACUAUCUGAUGAGAGCUGUUAUUUAAUUGUUGAUGUAAAGAGGAGAGUGCUUAUGGGAAAAUGUGGUCUUUUGGCUUGAGUAUUAAGACAUCUUAAGCUUGACAGACGGCCCCAAUUAUCCCCGCUUUGGUCUUAAAAUAUCUAUCUUUUCAUGACAACCUCCUUGGGUAUAUAUAUUAAAAAAAACCUAAAACGAGACUGAGUCUUCAUGUCUAAAAUAGCUCCAUGUUUCAUAAGAGAGCAGAAGCCGUCAUGAUACCAGAAAGACCUUGACCCAAUACAGCAGGAUUGGAUUACACAGGAAUGGUGGCUCUGGAGAAACAAAUGUGGUUUCACUGGUUUACAGCAUCGUAAUUUACAUGUCCCUUCUGCCUCUCUCCGUCAGGCUGUAUAUGACCAUGAAACCUUCCUGUUAACCUCCAAAACAGUCCUUUCAGAGUAAAAGAGCUGAUUGGACAAGACAUCUAUAAUAUCUAUAAUGGCCUGAGGCUGCUGCUCUGAACUGUGUCAAGAAACCUGUAGUUAUACAGUUUGUCAGUUUGUUUUGUGAAGAAACACAAAGAUGAAGUUGUGAAAAUGUGUAGAUACAAAUAUAAUAUUUUCUCUUUGACUUAUGUCUUUAGGAGUAUUUAUAUUUUGCUCAGCCCCUGUCUGGUCCCUUUCUUGCAUUUGUGAUUCUUGCCAUGUUGUCUCUCCUGUCCUUGUUUGUAAGGGGUAGAGUCAGAUUGGGGUGGUCAAACGAGAGCACAGACGAAUAAAAGGAAAUGACAUUGAUAAUCAACCUAUCCUUUUUUAAAUGGUAAAGAACUGACACUUGAGAGUUUUAAUUUCAUUUUUUUAGUUUGAGAUCCUUAAAAACAUCUUUAUUUAGAUGUUGGUUAUUAACUAAGAUGCUCAAAAAAGCUCAGGAUGAGGAUGCCCCUCCUCUCUACAUGCACACAGAGUUGUCUUCAGUCUAUAUCAGGUGUGAUAAAAGGUUGGAAGACUCUCAACCUAUCCUGAUGUCAAAGGUCACUGAUGAAGUCCGUAGGAGACGAGCGUUCAUCAUCACGCCUCCCAGUUCACAGGGUGCAUGUCGCUAAUCUUCAGCUGAUGAAUGCUGGCCUGAGGUCACUCUGCAAGCUGCCUAAUAAUACCCGACUGCUGCCUGGUUACCUGCAGACAUGAAAGGAGUCUCACUGUUGAAGCUCCCAGAUCAGCUGCUGGGGUCAAACUCAUCUGGAAAAAGUCUCAUAUCAUCAGAGGAGAACUGAAAGAGAGACUGUUUAAGUCAGCUGCUAAUGAAGACAAGCAGAGGUUUCAUUUAACAGGAGAAGGAUCGUGACUGAUGUUGUAAUGAGCAAAAACUUUUCUUGUCAAUCAAUGUCAAGGAGACAAGUGGAAAAUGAACAGCUUAUUCCAGCUCCACAGUGUUUUUCCAGUUCUGUAACACUGAAGAUGUCAUGUUUUACAGCAUCAUUUUUUUUUUGUUUGUGGACCUGGAUGGACGGGCGGGUUACCACAAUAACAGACUGUAACACAGACAACCUCUGAACAUUUCCCUCUUUGAUCUGACUGACAACUUUGUUUUCUUAAAGCGUGACCAAGAUUCUUCCAUAAAUUUUAGUACGGGUUUUUAAAUGGCAGCAUCACGCUAUUGUGUUCUUAUAUCACACAAACCUUGACAAAGGAGAAGGUUUUUUUUUAAGUUUUUCCACAGAUCAAAGAAAACUGACCAGACAUUCAAAUCUGACUUACAGCUUUAUGCAAAAGCAGCACUGGGAAUAAAAGAUUUUUCUUUAAACAUGAAUGAGUUCUUGUGGUUCCAUCAACUCUGACAGAGGUGUCAGUAUUUGUGUCAGGUCACUUUUUAGAAAUGGUCAAAAACUAUCAAACUAGAAUUGUGUCAUAAACAGCAGCAAGUCCAUGUGUCCAUAUAAAUAAAGAGAACUUCGAUAAUUUCAGCCUGUUUUACAGAGUUUUAACCAUAGACUGUAUAUAGAAUGGACACUGUCUGCCUCCUUGCUGGGUGAAGCCACCUCAAGAACAGCACCCUCUGGUGACUGGCUGCAGUAUAGGUCAUAAAUCCCGCCUCAUCCAGCAAUCCCUAUGGAGCUGUGGACAAACUUUAGAAAUUAAUUACACAGAAUAUAGAUUUUUCUCCCCCCCUGCUUGUGAUUUUGACAUGCAGUUACUGUAAGACUGGUUUUUCCUCAAGUCCUCUUUUUUCUGUGCUCCAUUUUUAAAAGUUAUUAGGGGGUUCAUGUUUUCUCUGAUUGACACUUGAUACAGCCUAUGGGCAUACGAAGAUUGCGUAGGUCACCUGUGGGAUACGCUGUCAUCACAGCGAAUGCGUACAACGCUACUGCGCAAGUGGUGGUUCCAGGAAGUGGAGAUAAUCCCGGAAAUACCGAGAUCAAUUCAGCUUCAAAUUCAUAUAACGAUGAAAGGCGGAACUAAGUUGUCCAUAGUGUAUACAGCCUAUGGCUUUAACAGUUUCUAAAAGAGGUGGAUCAUUUUGGUUGUAUGAUGUUCUUGUUAAUGGUGAGUUUAUGACACAACCCCUCUGUUGAGAAACAGGAUGAAGAACCGACACUAAAGCUUGACUUUCCAUCCCAGCAAAAAAGGUUCAACUCACAUGGACCUGACGAUUAUACAUCUUCCCUCGUUACUUGCUCAACUAUCCUUAACUUACCUGCACCAUUGUGUAUUUCUGGAGUCUAAUAGCCAAGCUAAAGCUAAAGCACUGCACAAGGAGAAAG